UACGGAGGGUGCAAGCGUUAUCCGGAUUCACUGGGUUUAAAGGGUGCGUAGGUGGGUUUGUAAGUCAGUGGUGAAAUCUCCAAGCUUAACUUGGAAACUGCCGUUGAUACUAUAAAUCUUGAAUGUUGUGGAGGUGAGCGGAAUAUGUCAUGUAGCGGUGAAAUGCUUAGAUAUGAACAUAGAACACCAAUUGCGAAGGCAGCUCACUACACAAAGAUUGACACUGAGGCACGAAAGCGUGGGGAUCAAACAGGA
rnacentral:rRNA from 1 species